AAACACGAUAUUGGGCUUGUGGGCCUUGAGCCCAAGCCCAAGCCCAUUUGAAACAAACCCUAGUAUUUAAAUGCAAUGCAACCCUAAUUCUCAUUUUAUGCCAGCCGCUACAUCUGUUCCUCACAUCAUCCUUGUCUGCAACUCAAGAAUUAAACACUCACACACACAUAAACAUAGGUUUAGAAGCCCCAUCUCUUCACUUGUCAAAACCCAACCCACCCGCACACCGGCUACCUUCGAUCAGUGACACGGCCGCCCACCACCACCAUCACCGUCUGGUGGUGGUGCGACGAUAAACGGAGAAAGAGAGAGGUGGAGUCCAGCGAUUUUUCCGAUAAGGUAUCCCCCACACACCACACAUAUCACUGAAAUGAGAGAGAGGCGGCGUCACCGGUGGAAUUCCGGCGACGACACAAACGGCGGAUGGCGGCGGUGAUUUCUGUUCGUUCUCCAGCCAUUUGUUUGAUGAAGAAGAUGAUGGCCAAUCGAUGAUGAUGAGACGAUGCGGUGAUUGAUGAUGAUCUGCUGUUGAAGUCAGUGAUGUUGAUGACGAUGAUGUUGCUGAAGAUGUGAUUUUCUUCGGUCACGACCGAUUAAGGAUCAGGUUGGGUUUGUUUUGAGUUUGGUUCGGGUAGUAACGAGUUGGUGGUUGGUGAUGGGUUCAAGGCAGCGACGAUGAUGGUGGAUUUCGACGGUCACUUAUAAAAACCCCUCUCCAGUUUAUUAUCUUUUGUGUUUCUUGCUGAAGAAUGAUAAAGAUGAUCACAUACAUCAUAUUUCAAGUGCUGGUUCAAGUAUAGUUCGGGUCAGCUCAGUGUAGUUCAGGUCUCGAUAUCUCGGGUUAGUUAUGGUUUGAGCUUCUCGAUUCAACAGUUUUGGCUCGGUUUUGGGACACGGUCAAGGUCAGUCAACUAGUCAAAGCCAGUCAAUGAUUAACACUCGGGUCAACAGCAGGUUCUCAGGUCAACGCGUGACCCGGUAAAGUUUAGCGACGCAAAAAUCUAGUUAUUUUGAUAUAGAGUCUUAGAUUUUAUUAUAGUUAUACGCGACCGAGCUCGACCCGUUUCGACUAGAUAUUGGUUACGUUCUUGAUACAUUUGAUGAAAACUAUAUUAAGUUGAUUAUUUUGGUUGAA